UACGUAGGUGGCAAGCGUUGUCCGGAUUUACUGGGCGUAAAGAGCGCGCAGGCGGCCGAGUAAGUCGAAUGUGAAAGCCCUCGGCUCAACCGAGGAAGUGCGCCCGAAACUGCAGAGCUUGAGUACCGGAGAGGAUGGCGGAAUUCCCCAAGUAGAGGUGAAAUUCGUAGAUAUGGGGAGGAACACCGGUGGCGAAGGCGGCCAUCUGGACGGAUACUGACGCUGAGACGCGAAAGCGUGGGGAGCAAACAGG
rnacentral:rRNA from 1 species